GCCAGGCAUACUGGUGCAUGCCUGUAGUCCUAGUUACUCGGGAGGCUGAGGCAGGAGGAUCACUUGAACCCAGGAGUUUGAGGCUGCAGUAAGCUAUGAUCAAACCACUGCACACCAGCCUGGGUGACAGAGUGAGACCCUGUCUCUC
rnacentral:SRP_RNA from 1 species